UUUGCUUCUAGGUGUUCGGUGAUUCAUUGCUUGAUUAUCUUUUCCAGAAUCUUCCCCGGUAUUGAGGUCAGGCUGAUAGAUCUGUAGUUUCCUGGAUCUGUUUUUUUCCUUUUUUGAAGAUGGGAGCUACAUCAGCUCUUUUCCAGUCCUCUGGCAGCUCCCCUGUGCUCCAGGAUCUUUGAAAGAUAUAGUUCAGUGGUUCUGAGAUCACGUCUGCCAGUUCCUUCAGAACCUUGGGGUGUAAUCCAUCCAGUCCUGGUGAUUUGAACUCAUCUAGGGUAGACAGGCUACAUGCUACAGUCAUGGAUAAGAACUCCAUUAACAACAAAGAGAAGAAAUGAAUGUAUUAAGGACUCUGGUAUCAUCACAGAGUUUAUAAUUUAAUAUUGUUAGAAAGUGAUAAUGGCUUCAGUCUCCUUUUAUGACAUGUAUUAAUAAAGACCUCGAAAAGUAACAUUAGUUAUUUUUGGCUAGCAGCUGUUGUAAGCAUCACUGCAGAGAGGCGAUAUAUUCUAUAAGGGCUUGUUGUGGUCACCAAGUUUGCCAAUCAACUGGGCUAGGAAAAAUAUCUUAUCAUGCCAUGUUAACCUUCUCCUCUUGCAGGAUGUCUUGUUUUAUAAAAGUUACGACUCCUUACAGCAGAAGACCUUGAACAACACUGAACAAAGGAACUUAGCUACCAGACUUUUAGAAGACAAAGGACUCUCCAUCAGGAAUUCAGAAGAGUUACUUUCAAAAGAUGAAUUCUGCAAAAGAUAUAUAUUUAAUUUAUUGCAGCAGCUAAACUUAUCUAAAAUUUGUCAGCUGUGUGUCUAAUAUAUAAAUUCUGAUCUUUGGCUACAAAUUCUGUCAUCCUCAGCCCAUAUUUUGAGGAAAGGCUCAUAUAAACUUUGCUUCCAAAAAGUUACACCUGUUUAAAUUUCAUGGAAAAUUAUCAUGCUGUAGCAAUAUUAACGUGGUGUCAUUUUAAUAGUUUAACUCAUCUUCAUCAAACCCUUAAAUGGUUGAAGCUGGGGGAAAUAGUCUUAAUUUCCUUACCUCUUUCUCCUAUAUCUGUAAUUAUUUGCUUGUCUAUCCCAACUUUACAAAGACUCAUAAGUUCAAUUUAAUUCUCCUCCCCAUUCCAUUUUCCCAAUCUGAAGUCUCUUUCUUGCUAUAUAGUAGAGCAGGUGUAGAGCGCGGACUAAGCAGUCAGUAUUUCAUAUGCUAAACCAUUAGAAAAAAGAAGAAAAUCCUGCCACUUAAUUGACAAAGAAGAUAGAGAGGUGCAGAGGGGAAUCCCUUUCUGGGGUUUUAGUUUGCAAAAAGGCCAUGGUGGCUGCAUUAGAGGGGAACCACAUAAGUCUAUCUGGAAAGUUACAUAUCUCUAUACCUACAGUACUUUGAUGGUGACCCUGCUUCCAAGGUUUGUCAGUGAAUAUUGGAACUAAAAAGCAAUUGAGCCAGACACAGGAGGGACACUUAGGAACUGGAGAAUCACUGGGGAUAAAAACCUCCAAAUAUAUUCUACAAGAUAUCUAAAGGGCAUCUAAAAGUUUUCUGAGAACAUGCCCGUUACAUUACAAACCCAGUUACAGUAGUAUCAGGUUUACAACUUUCUGUAUAAAGACUUUACAGUUAAUAUGCUUUAUAAAAUAUAGAACUAUGAAUGGUAUUUUUAAAAUAUAUUUUCCUUGCCAAUAAUACAUAAUCUGUUGUAAAAAAUAUAGCUAAAACCGUAUUGAAAAUAUGAUGGUCACAAGUUAGAACAAUAUAAGGAAAGCUACUUGCUGCAGCCCUUCGUCAUUUUUUCCUCAGGAAAAAAAAAGUUGCCACUACUUUUCAAAUAACUUCAUUCCUGUGUAUUUAAAAAUGUAUAAUCUGAACGGUUUUUCCUAAACCAGGAAAUCAAAUCUAGUUUUAAUUCUUAUUUAGCUUAAGUAAUUGUUCAAUAUUUUAUUUUGUAUGCAUGACAAUCCAGCUAUAAUCCCGCACAGUUAGUUCUUAAACUCAGCUAAAAGUUGCUACGUUAUGCUCCAGAGCUGAUUCUAUCCACUUUCAGGAGAAUGAGUGGGAGAAUAGUGGCCAUGGUUUUUAUUGGUGAUGGCUAACAUGGUGCAGCAUAGGAUGUGAAUCCCAUAUUAGACAGUUUCCUGUUGGUGUAAAAUGUCUUCCCUGCCAAAUUGGCUUGGGAGCCUCUGGGAAAGACAGGCUGAAAACUAGCUGCACAUUUAUCUGCCACUGGUGGAGAACAGACCUGAAGCUCCAGGACAGAAUUGGGUUGGAAGGUCUCCCUUUCUCUUGACCUUUUGUCUAGCUUAACCAUAGAUCAGGCCCAUUGUUUCACUUAUCUGAAAUAAAACACUAUUUUGCUAGAACAAAAGGUAUGCUAACAAUAUCUUAAGGUGGGUAAGGAAAUGGAGACAUACAUAUGUAGAACGAAGGUGUUGGGGUCGUAUAAGCAUCCCUUCGCAUUCAUAUAUUUCCAAGAAUGACUUCUUUCUGGGUUCCUUUCUCCAUGUGUUUCAUUGCAAGAUUGUGUUAGGCAAAUAAACAGCCCUCAAUAAAUUCAGUUAAAGGUUUCUGCAUACACUGGAUGUACUGAUUUUAAAUGCUAAAUCUAUGGCUAAUGCUGAAAGCAAUUGUAUCUGAAUCAGUAAAUUCAACCUUAACCAAGAUUAUUUGGAAGUGAAUUCCAUUAAUACUUUGAGUAGAAUUUAUUUCAAAGCUACUUCGUUAAAUUUGUUGCCUUAAAACACUGUUCUGUUUGCAUUUCAUUGGACUUCCAUUUGAAAAAAAUGGCAUAGUAGUGUGCAGCAUAUCAUGGUUAGA